CCACGUCAUUCCCGUUUCUACCCAGCAGGACUCCGGCAUCCAACACUCUCCAGUGACUACUACUCUCGUUAGAAUUGGCUAGAUCUCACACGAGAUCAACGAGACCAAACAAUGCAUGAGCACUGGCUCACUAAUAGCGAUGACUCCGGACAGACAGUCACGGUACUCCGUUUUGGACGACGGGCGGCAAUGGCGAUGAGAUGCCGCUGUGUUCACCUCGUCCCGUGAUCAUCUGCACCUCC